rnacentral:rRNA from 1 species
GACGAACGCUGGCGGCGUGCUUAACACAUGCAAGUCGAACGGAAAGGCCCUGCUUUUGUGGGGUGCUCGAGUGGCGAACGGGUGAGUAACACGUGAGUAACCUGCCCUUGACUUUGGGAUAACUUCAGGAAACUGGGGCUAAUACCGGAUAGGAGCUCCUGCUGCAUGGUGGGGGUUGGAAAGUUUCGGCGGUUGGGGAUGGACUCGCGGCUUAUCAGCUUGGUGGUGGGGUAGUGGCUUACCAAGGCUUUGACGGGUAGCCGGCCUGGGAGGGUGACCGGCCACAUUGGGACUGAGAUACGGCCCAGACUCCUACGGGAGGCAGCAGUGGGGAAUAUUGCCCAAUGGGCGGAAGCCUGAUGCAGCAACGCCGCGUGCGGGAUGACGGCCUUCGGGUUGUAAACCGCUUUCGCCUGUGACGAAGCGUGAGUGACGGUAAUGGGUAAAGAAGCACCGGCUAACUACGUG